rnacentral:misc_RNA from 1 species
GAAACGCGAUAGUUAAUGUGAAUUGCGGAAUUCAGUGAAUCAUCGAGUCUUUGAACGCACAUUGCGCCCAUAGGUAUUCCUUUGGGCAUGUCUGUUUGAGCGUCAUUACAACCCUCAGCUAACCGCUGGUUUUGAACCUGAACGGGUGACACCGCGCCGGUUUUAAAGUUGUAAGCUCUGCUGGCCGCUCUGCCCAACCAGAACAUAGUAAGCACUACUUGUCCGGGUGAAGCUGAACGGUACGGCCUGAACAAAACCUACCCACUCUCAAGGUUUGACCUCAGAUCAGACAAGGAUACCCGCUGAACUUAAGC